rnacentral:rRNA from 1 species
GAUGAACGCUGGCGGCGUGCCUAAUACAUGCAAGUCGAACGCUGGAGAUCUAGCUUGCUAGAUCGAAGGAGUGGCGAACGGGUGAGUAAUACAUAAGCAACCUACCCACGAAGACUGGGAUAAUCUCUGGAAACGGGGACUAAUACCGGAUAGGUAAUCGGAAGGCAUCUUCUGGUUAUUAAAGGUUAAAAACACUGGUGGAUGGGCUUAUGGCGCAUUAGUUAGUUGGUGAGGUAACGGCCCACCAAGACGAUGAUGCGUAGCCGGCCUGAGAGGGUGAACGGCCACAUUGGGACUGAGACACGGCCCAGACUCCUACGGGAGGCAGCAGUAGGGAAUUUUCGGCAAUGGGGGCAACCCUGACCGAGCAACGCCGCGUGAGUGAAGACGGCCUUCGGGUUGUAAAGCUCUGUUGUAGGGGAAGAACGGUAGAUAGAGAAUAUCUAAGUGACGGUACCUUACCAGAAAGCCACGGCUAACUACGUG